UGCAGUCGAGCGCUCUCUUCGGAGGGAGCGGCGGACGGGUGAGUAACGCGUGGGAACGUACCCUUCUCUACGGAAUAGCCUCGGGAAACUGAGAGUAAUACCGUAUACGCCCUUAGGGGGAAAGAUUUAUCGGAGAAGGAUUGGCCCGCGUUUGAUUAGAUAGUUGGUGGGGUAAUGGCUUACCAAGUCUACGAUCAAUAGCUGGUUUGAGAGGAUGAUCAGCAACACUGGGACUGAGACACGGCCCAGACUCCUACGGGAGGCAGCAGUGGGGAAUCUUAGACAAUGGGCGCAAGCCUGAUCUAGCCAUGCCGCGUGAGUGACGAAGGUCUUAGGAUCGUAAAGCUCUUUCGCCAGAGAUGAUAAUGACAGUAUCUGGUAAAGAAACCCCGGCUAACUCCGUGCCAGCAGCCGCGGUAAUACGGAGGGGGUUAGCGUUGUUCGGAAUUACUGGGCGUAAAGCGCACGUAGGCGGAUUAGAAAGCAAGAGGUGAAAUCCCAGGGCUCAACCCUGGAACUGCCUUUUGAACUACUAGUCUAGAGUUCGAGAGAGGUGAGUGGAAUUCCAAGUGUAGAGGUGAA
rnacentral:rRNA from 1 species